GACGAACGCUGGCGGCGUGCUUAACACAUGCAAGUCGAACGAAGUGGCGAACGGGUGAGUAACGCGUAAUCAACCUGCACAUCAGAGGGGGACAACAGUGGGAAACGACGGCUAAUACCGCAUAGUGAAGGAGGGGAGUGCGUCUGAUUAGCUAGGUGGAGGGGUAACGGCCCACCCAGGCGAGGAUCAGUAGCCGGUCCUGUGUGAUUAACCGCCCCAUUGGGACUGAGACACGGCCCCGACUUCUACGGGGGGCAGCAGUGGGGGAUCUUCCGAAAUGGGCGAAAGUCUGACUGCGCCACGCCGCGUGAGUGAUGACGGCCUUUGGGUUGUAAAGCUCUUUUAAUCGGGACGCGGUACCGGAAUAGAAAGCCACGGCUAACUCCGUGCCAGCAGCCGCGGUAAUUC
rnacentral:rRNA from 1 species